rnacentral:rRNA from 1 species
UACGUAGGGGGCAAGCGUUUGUCCGGAAUCAUUGGGCGUAAAGCGCGUGUAGGCGGUCCGGUAAGUCCGCUGUGAAAGUCGGGGGCUCAACCCUCGGAUGCCGGUGGAUACUGUCGGGCUUGAGUACGGAAGAGGCGAGUGGAAUUCCUGGUGUAGCGGUGAAAUGCGCAGAUAUCAGGAGGAACACCAAUUGCGAAGGCAGCUCGCUGGGACGUUACUGACGCUGAGACGCGAAAGCGUGGGGAGCAAACAGG